CGUCUCCCACCCCUCCCACGUCUCCCACGUCUCCCACCCCUCCCACCCCUCCCACCUCUCCCCCCACCCCCACCCCUCCCACCUCUCCCCCCACCCCCACUCCUCCCACCUCUCCCCCCUCCCUCACCCCUCCCACGUCUCCCACCCCUCCCACCUCUCCCACGUCUCCCACCCCUCCCACCUCUCCCACGUCUCCCAGGUCUCCCACGUCUCCCACCCCUCCCACGUCUCCCACGUGUCCCACCUCUCCCACCUCUCUCACGUCUCCCACCCCUCCCACCUCUCCCACGUCUCCCACGUGUCCCACGUCCCACCUCUCCCACGUCUCCCACGUCUCUCACGUCUCCCACGUCUCCCACCACUCCCACCACUCCCACCUCUCCCACGUCUCCCACCCCUCCACGUCUCCCACGUCUCCCACCCCUCCCACCUCUCCCACGUCUCCCACCUCUCCCACGUCUCCCACCCCUCCCACGUCUCCCACGUCUCCCACGUGUCCCACCCCUCCACGUCUCUCACGUCUCCCACCCCUCCACGUCUCCCACGUCUCCCACGUCUCCCACGUCUCCCACCUCUCCCACGUGUCCCACCUCUCCCACCUCUCCCACUUCUCCCACGUCUCCCACCCCUCCAUGUCUCCCACGUCUCCCGUCUCCCACGUCUCCCACGUCUCCCACGUCUCCCACCUCUCCCACCUCUCCCAUGUCUCCCACCCCUCCCACGUCUCCCACCCCUCCCACGUCUCCCACGUCUCCCACGUCUCCCACGUCUCCCACGUCUCCCACGUCUCCCACCUCUCCCACGUCUCCCACGUCUCCCACCUCUCCCACCUCUCCCACGUCUCCCACCUCUCCCACGUCUCUCACGUCUCCCACCCCUCCACGUCUCCCACGUCUCCCACCCCUCCCACGUCUCCCACAUGCCGUUUAGUAACUUAGGAAGAAUGAUUCACUUGGCUUUCUUGACAGUAUAAGGGACUUAAUUUGAAAAGCUUCCUUACCUGUAAAACGGGAUAUUUCACACUACUCCUUAAAAAACUGAAUUCUUGACACAAAACGUUGUUUAGUGAAUACUC
rnacentral:lncRNA from 1 species